rnacentral:antisense_RNA from 1 species
CUUGACCGAACCCAGCCACAGCGGCUGCUCGGGCGAGUGCUCGCGGCCGUAGGUGGCCAGCAGCGCCUGCGCCUC